UAGGGAAUCUUCGGCAAUGGACGGAAGUCUGACCGAGCAACGCCGCGUGAGUGAAGAAGGUUUUCGGAUCGUAAAGCUCUGUUGUUAGAGAAGAACGUUGGUAGGAGUGGAAAAUCUACCAAGUGACGGUAACUAACCAGAAAGGGACGGCUAACUACGUGCCAGCAGCCGCGGUAAUACGUAGGUCCCGAGCGUUGUCCGGAUUUAUUGGGCGUAAAGCGAGCGCAGGCGGUUCUUUAAGUCUGAAGUUAAAGGCAGUGGCUUAACCAUUGUACGCUUUGGAAACUGGAGGACUUGAGUGCAGAAGGGGAGCGUGGAAUUCCAUGUGUAGCGGUGAAAUGCGUAGAUAUAUGGAGGAACACCGGUGGCGAAAGCGGCUCUCUGGUCUGUAACUGACGCUGAGGCUCGAAAGCGUGGGGAGCAAACAGG
rnacentral:rRNA from 1 species